ensembl:lncRNA novel transcript, sense intronic to SIPA1L3
CCAUGUUAGUCAGGCUGGUCUUGAACUCCUGGUAUCAAGUGAUCUGCCCGCCUGAGCCUCCCAAAGUGCUGGGAUUACAGGCGUGAGCCACUGCGCCCGGCCCCUGUCCUCCCCCUUUUACAGAUGAGGCAGCUGAGGCCCAGAGUCACAGGGCUGGUGAGGAACACAGCCUGGAUCAGAGCCCAGGAAGCCUGGGUCAAGGCUCACGUCUCUUGAGUGAGGGGCUCUGCCCUCCUCCAUCCUGUUCUUUGUAGUGUCAUCUUUCAUGACCUACAUGGAGACAUUCAAAUCCGGGGAUGACACAGAGCUUGGAGGGAGAGACGUGUCAGGAGACAGAAACAGUGUCCCUGGAGAUAUCAGCAGGCAAGUGUGCUGAGCUCACACUGAGAGCCAGAGGGGAUUCUGAAAACUAGACUGAUGAUUAAAACUGCUUAAAAACUCAGCAGCCUCCCCAUGCUCCCGGGAUUAAUGAUGCAGGCUCACAUUGACUACACACGUUUAUACCAGGCGCCAUGUUCUUUGCCGAAACUCCCGCUCAGAGCCUGGAUGAUCUGCCCCUCACCUCUGCCCUCGUUCCCAUCCACUCUCCCCUCCUUGCUCUGUUCCAGCCACACUGGCCUCUUGCUGUUCCUCACACUCUCCACGUCCAGGCACACCCCAGGGCCUUUGCACUGGCUCUCACUGCUGCCUCCAGUGAGCUCCCUCCAGAUCUUCUUGGGUGCAGCUCAUGAGGACUCGCUCUAAUGCCACCCCCUCAAACAGGUCCUCCUGGCCUUCAGUAGCCCAGGCUGUCAUUCUGUGUCACUGUACUCUGUUCCACAUCCCGUGUCCCCCAUGGGAAACAGGUGCCACCGUCUUAGUCACAAGGCACUUGUAACGUGCCUGGCACACAGGGCAUGCUCCAUCCUGAACAUAAGACGUGUGGAUCUUGUUUGAUUCUCACGUGACCCCAAUAAGUAGAUACUAUAAGGCCCCCACUUUUCAGUGUGGCCCAAGUUGGGCCCUGCUGAACCCUGUUACCCUCCUCAACAAUCACCCGUACACACUGCUUCCUCUGCCUGGAACCCACCCCCCAACCCGCACCCCCACUCUAGGCCCACUCCUGCCCACCCAUGUUAAUUUGCUGGGGCAGCCGCAACAAACUACCACACACUGAGUGGCUUAAACUGCAGAAAUGUAUCAUCUCACAGUUGCGGAGGCCAGAAGUCCAAGUUCCAGGCGUCAACAGGGUGGUUCCCUCCAAGGGCGGUGAGGGAGAACCUGUUCCUGGCCUCCCUCUUAGCAGCCGGUGGGUGUCAGCACGUAGAUUCAUCACCCCCGUCUCUACCUCCUCUUCGCAUGAUGUUCUCCCUGCAUCUGUGCCCACAUUUCCUCUUUCUGCAAGGACGCCAAUCUAACGGGAUUAGGGGUCUACCCUAAUGACCUCAUUUUCACUUGAUUGCCUCUGUAAAGACUCUGUCUCCAAAUGAGGUCACAUUUGGAGAUGCUGGGGCUUAGGACUUCAAUGUAGCUUUUUGUGGGGCCCCAGUUCAACCCAUAACACCACUCCUUGGGUAUCAACACAGACACGCCUUUCUUGCAGAAGUUGUCUGAACCCCCACACCAGGCUCAGCCCACCCCCAGCACCUGUCCCAGGGCACAGCGACCGCCACUCCCUUGGCAACUUGCUUCCUCUCUGUCACCCCCAUGGGGCCCAGAACAGAGACAUCCUGAACCUCACCCAGACCACACACUUAGUAGGUGCUCAGAAGAUGUACCUGGAGAGACAACAACCCUAUCCAACAACAGCUUUCCCAGUGAUGAAAUCCAGAGAUGGCUUGUAUAUGUGUGUGUUGGUGUAAACAUAUGUAAACUAAGCAUAUAAAAUAUCAGCAGGAGACACAAAUGAAA